AACGAACGCUGGCGGCAUGCCUAACACAUGCAAGUCGAACGAGACCUUCGGGUCUAGUGGCGCACGGGUGCGUAACGCGUGGGAAUCUGCCCUUGGGUUCGGAAUAACUCCCCGAAAGGGGUGCUAAUCCCGGAUGAUGUCGCAAGACCAAAGAUUUAUCGCCCAAGGAUGAGCCCGCGUAGGAUUAGGUAGUUUGUGAGGUAAAGGCUCACCAAGCCGACGAUCCUUAGCUGGUCUGAGAGGAUGCUCAGCCACACUGGGACUGAGACACGGCCCAGACUCCUACGGGAGGCAGCAGUGGGGAAUAUUGGACAAUGGGCGAAAGCCUGAUCCAGCAAUGCCGCGUGAGUGAUGAAGGCCUUAGGGUUGUAAAGCUCUUUUACCCGGGAUGAUAAUGACAGUACCGGGAGAAUAAGCCCCGGCUAACUCCGUGCCAGCCGCCGCGGUAAAAC
rnacentral:rRNA from 1 species